GGUUAGGGACAGUUUGACGUCUUUAUGUGCCUAAUCACAUAAGUUCGAGGUAAUCGCGAAAGUUUCGAGGGACAUUUUUUGUUGGAACCUAUAAAGAUAGCCAUAUAUCUUCCAAUUGAGUCCCGUAAGUGCUAUUUGAGCAUCCUUUCUGAAGACUGGACAGAAAUCAAGAUUGUUCCUGGGACUAUGUGACAGAUUGUGAAACCGAGUUCGCAAGGGGACUACUAAACUGAGAAUGAUGACCCUCCACUUUAAUGUUCGUUCGAAUGCGAUCUGCGCUAGACUGCGAUUCUGAAUAUAAUCUAAAGGACAUGAAAUUAACCAAGAAGACGUGCUGAUAUAUACCAACUACAUAACCCAAUUCACUACAAUCCAGUUCAAUCAUCUCCUAUCAGUCCCUUUGUUCACCACCAGAGUGAAAACAGACGAAGUACAGUCGACGGCCUGGGUGACAUCUCGCCGUAUCCGUGGUUAUCUGCUACCGCUGCGGAUGGAGGAUGAAGUGGAAAGGACUGUACAUAAUAUCUUAUAGGACGUGAGUUAUUAAGUAUUAUGCUAUUAGAGCAGUGUAAAUAGAGUGCAAUAAUUUCCAUCUUUCAAAAGUCUAUGCUUUCAAAAACAACAUCCUAGAAUCACCAGAAAACAGCACCAGCACACUGGAAAACAUUUAGACAAGUGAUGCCACGAACUGCACGUAGUUAAGACACAAACAGCUACUCAAUAAGGUUUCCCUUCCACCGAUGAGUCAUAAUAUCUACUUAUAAACUAUAAUAACUACUGACCAUCCGUUCUAAAGGUCAGGAUAUUAAAGAAAACUGCGAUUUUACAGUUAAACUAGCUAAUAUUUUUGUAUUAAAAAUUAAUGACUU